CCCUGUGGCUCCAUCCGGCCCUGCAGCACCCCCGCUCCGCCAGGGGGCGCCCCCGCCGCUCUCCCGUCUCUAUGGCAGGCAGGGCCGCGCUGGGCUCCUCUCUAUGAUCCACUUCCGGUCCGCACCGGCGGAAGUGACGUCAGAGAGCGGCGGCGGCGGGAGCCGGAGCGAGGUCCCGCCAGCCUCGCCGCUGUCCCCAUUGGUGUCCCCGUGUGUGUCCCCAGCACCGCCAGCCCGGUGACCCCGUGUCCCUGCUGUCCCCUCUGUCCCCUCUGUCCCCGUGUCCCCUCUGUCCCCGUGUCCCUGCUGUCCCUGCUGUCCCCUCUGUCCCCUCUGUCCCCUCUGUCCCCGUGUCCCCUCUGUCCCCUCUGUCCCCUCUGUCCCCUCUGUCCCCGUGUCCCCUCUGUCCCCGUGUCCCUGCUGUCCCUCUGUCCCCUCUGUCCCUGCUGUCCCCACCAUCUCGGGGGCUCUUGCCGUGUCCCAGCUGUCGCUGCCAUCUCUGUGUCCCCGUGUCCCCUCUGCCCCCACCGUCCCCGUGUCCCCCGUGUCCCUCUGUCCCCUUUAACCCCACCCCCCAGUGUCCCAGUGUCCCCUCUGUCCCAGUGUCCCCCCAGUGUCCCCAGUGUCCCCUCUAUCCCUGGUGUCCCCAGUGUCCCAGUGUCUCUGUGUCCCCUCUCUCCCCUGUGUCCCCUGUCUCCUCUGUGUCCCCUCUAUCCCAGUGUCCCCCCAGUGUCCCCGUGUCCCCCCCGUGUCCCCACCAUUCCCUCUAUGCCCUCCAUCCCAGUGUCCCCAGUGUCCCUCUAUCCCUGUGUCCCCUCAAGUCCCCCGUGCCCCCUCUCUGUCCCCCUGUCCCAGCGUCCCCUCUGACUCCAGUGUCCCCCUGUGUCUCUAGUGUCACCUCUGUCCCGAGUCCCCAGUUAGCCAGUGUCCCCAGAGUCCCCUCUAUCCCUGUGUCCCCCAUUGUCACCCCCUGUCCCCCAUUGUCCCGCUGUCCCCCAUUGUCCCCCAUUGUCCCGCUGUCCCCCAUUGUCCCCCAUUGUCCCCCAUUGUCCCCCAUUGUCCCCCAUUGUCCCACUGUGUCCCCCAGUUCCCCCAUUGUCCCCCUGUCCCCCAUUGUCCCCCAUUGUCCCCCAUUGUCCCGCUGUCCCCCCCGUGCCCCUGUCCCCGUUUCAGCCAUGCCGGACACCGUGCACUACAUCCACCUGCACAACUUCAGCCGCCGCUGCUGCGGGCGCCAACGGGCAGCGCGCGCGGCCGCUUCUGCGACGUGACGGUUCGGCGCCAAGGCGCUUCGCUGGCGCCCACCGCUGCGCGUUGGCCGCCGCAGCCCCUUCUUCCACGACAAGCUCAGCCUGGGCCACUCGGCCAUCGAGGUGCCGCCCGUGGGGCUAGCUACCCUACCCUCCCCCCCCACACCGCCCAAACCGCCACGCAAAAACAACCCGCGGCCCCCCCCCCCCCCCCCCCCCCACACCCACCCCCCCACCAAACCAACACCCCCACAAACACCCCCCACCCCAAAAAACCAAAACCCACACAAAAACAAAACAAAGCCAAACGCCACCCACACCACAGAGGGAGGGGGGGGGGGCCCCCCCCCCCCCCGCCCCCCCCCCCCCCCCCCCCCCCCCCCCCCAACACACCACAACAAGCGGGCACACCGGGGCCCCCCAACCCCAAAACACCACAACCCUCAGGUGAGAAGCCCCACCAGUGCUCCAUCUGCUGCCGCUCCUUCUCUCUCU
rnacentral:lncRNA from 14 species